GAUUGAGUUGCACCUUGUUGUAAACCGACCAUUGGCAGAAGAAUCUGAUUGGCUUAAAACACUUCGAAAUAGCUUUUAACAGUAAAGCUGGUAUUGAGUAGCAUCUUAUUGGAUUUGCUGUGCGUGCUUCAGGGUCACAGGUUUAUAGCAGUAGCUGUCCAAAGCCUUGGCUGCCAACAUGGCUUUCCUAAUAUGGGUACUGAAAUUGUCUCUCCUACUUGUUGAGGAAUGCCAAGUAAAUGCUUUCAGGAAUGGCUUGACUGAGAAGCUUGGAUAUCAACAAGGUCCGGUCCGAAGCCCCAUAUACCAGUCCUAUGAAGAGCAGACCGGAUCUGCUACCCAGCAGCCUAGCCGUGGGCAGCAAAAGCCAUGGUUGCCGAAGCAGCAGCCUCGUGGCUACCAGCGUCACCAGCAGCAGCCUCGUGGCUACAAGCAGCAGCAGCACCACCAGCAGCAGCAGCCUCGUGGCUACCAGCAGC